rnacentral:rRNA from 1 species
AAUCAACGCUGGCGGCGUGCCUCAGACAUGCAAGUCGAACGAUUAAGACUUCCUUCGGGAAGUGCAUAAAGUGGCGCACGGGUGAGUAACACGUAAGUAAUCUACCUUUGAGUGGGGAAUAACCCGGGGAAACCCGAGCUAAUACCGCAUAAUGCAGCGGCAUCGCAAGAUGACAGUUGUUAAAGGAGCAAUCCGCUUAAAGAGGAGCUUGCGGCAGAUUAGCUAGUUGGUAAGGUAAUGGCUUACCAAGGCUACGAUCUGUAUCCGGUCUAAGAGGACGGUCGGACACACUGACACUGAAUAACGGGUCAGACUCCUACGGGAGGCAGCAGUCGGGAAUUUUGGGCAAUGGGCGAAAGCCUGACCCAGCAACGCCGCGUGAAGGAUGAAGUAUUUCGGUAUGUAAACUUCGAAAGAAUAGGAAGAAUAAAUGACGGUACUAUUUAUAAGCUCCGGCUAACUACGUGCCAGCAGCAGCCGCGGUAA